AUGAUUGGACAUACAUUUAUUAAUGAAGGUCCACUCUACUCAGGACUUACUCCAGCUUUUUUCUCCCCUUUAAGUGGCAGUAAGGAGGAUACUCCAGUUUUGGAAUUGAAGGACUGUCCUGAUACAGAUGUGUCCCUUCUGGAAAGCCAGAAUGAACUGAAUCAGAAUGAUGUAGAUAAUAUCAACAACCUGGCCAUCAACUGGGACUUGUCAGCAACAGCAACAGAAUGUGGUUGGCAGAAACCAUUCUCCACCAUGGGGUAUGUAUAUCUUAUCAUAUAAAGGUGGAAGUAUGUGUUAAUUGCAGUUGGAUAUGUACUUGACCUUUUUCUAACUCUACAUAAGCCUGUUUACAUAACCAAUAAGUUAGGACAAAAGCUUCAAUCUUUCAUCAUGGCUUGCAUAGUGUUUAUAAUUUAUACUGUUUGUGGAUCAUUUCUAGGUUAUUGGUCGACGUGAAAAACAGAUUUCUCAGCUGCGGAGAGGACUCAAAGAUACAGGUGUUUUGAGAAUGAUAAAAGAACGACCCAGUUUAACUGCAGUACUGUUUCCCAGAUCUUCUGCACUGCUGAUGGAACCAGAGCUAACUGGUCUAUUCUACUUCAGAGAAUAGACCAUAUGGAAGCCAUUGCACUAAAUCAGCGGUUCUCAAUUCCAGUCCUCGCGCCCCCCAGCUCUGCAUAUUUUGCAUGUCUCUCUGUUAACACACCUGAUUCAGAUAAUCAGCUCCUUAGAAGUGAGCUCCGUGCAUGAACUGUGUUCCCACUGACAUGCUCCCUCCACAGUGUUCAUUGCUCCCUACUCCCUGAGCAGGGGAUAUCUGUUGAAGUUUACCUCACUUCGGAACAUUCAUUCACGGAUUUGCGCUGCGCAACGUCUUCACACACGGACAAGUUUGACAUCAUAUACGUCUGUAAAUAAAUACAAUUUAAAUUCACGUCUCA
ensembl:lncRNA